UUUGGAAAAAUACCUACACAGUUCUUUUGCCCAUCUUUUUUAUUGAGUUGUUUGGGUUUUUUAUGUUGAAUUGUUUGAGCUGCUUAUAAAUGUGGGAUAUUAACCUCUUGUUGGUCAAAUCAUUUACAAAUAUUUUCUCCCAUUCAGUAGGUUGUCUUUUUGUUUAGUCAGUGGUUUCCUUUGCUGUGCAAAAGUUUUAAGUUUAAUUAGCUCCUAUUAGUUUAUUUUUGCUUUUGUUUCCUUUGCCUUAGGAUUCGCUGUCAAUUGUUAAAUGCUUUAUUAUUAUAUGACAAUUGGCAAUAAAUUCUGACAACUUAGUGUAAAAUAGUAGCAUGCAUUUUAAGUAUAUCUGAGUUUGGUGUAAAAGGGAAAGAGUAUAAAGGAGUGUACCAUUAUCAGCUAUUUCUGCCCCAGAACUGGGACUACCCUACCCAAGUUCCUCUUAAAUGAGUAACAUUUCAAGUACAUGUGUGCUUCCUACAUACGCUGUAAGAAACCAGAAUUGAUUUUUUAAAAAGAUACUAAAACAUUGUAAGUUAAAAAUGGACUUAAAAAACAUAAGCACACAUAAGAAUAUGUAUGUACUUUAAUGUCUAAGCAUCAAAACACUGAUAUAAAUGUUAGAGGAGAAAAUUAUUAAGGCUCUAAAUUAACUCAAAUGUUUCUGUGAGAAGAAAGGUAUAACAAUAAUAUUCAUAAUGAGUUGCUGGAUUAUAGUUACAUAGCUCUCCCCUUAAGAUAUUUUAUAGGUUUAGUGGCAGAGUAUGAAUCAUUCUUAAUAAAUAUAGUGAGCAACUGCCAGCAUCCAGAAGAAGCAUUAGGAAGGUAUUAAGAGUAUAGAUUAUUAAGGCAUAAGGGAAUUUACAAUCAGUGAGAAAAAUAAGCAAGUUACAUUAAUGAGCUGUACAAAAAAAGCUUUUAAUAAAAUCAGUAUGUUUAAGCAGCAAGAAGAAUUAAGUGGUGAAGUUUGUGUUAUGUAUAGCCGUGUAUAAUAAUAAUGUGGAAGGAAAACAAGUAGCUGCUACUCAGUAGUAAAUUCUGUGUGUACAUGUUUUUAAAAUUUAAAGAAAUAUGUAGGCCUCCCUCAAUUUAUGCAAUAUGUUUCAUUGGCAUCUGAGAUUUGCUUUGGAAGUUUAUUGAGAGUUUGCAGAGAGACAGAGAGGAACUGCAAAAGCAUAAAGAUGUCAGAAAGCAUGGAGUUAUGGGGAACAUUGAGUCAUUUAGUGUGAAUAGACUGUAAAGUUUUUUUGAGAGAGGGGCAGCAAGAGAUGAGACUGGAGAUAGGGCUAGACAAUGAGGGACUUUAAGUCAUGUUCCCAAGCUUGGGCAUUAUUUUGUUGAUAAAGGGAGACAAUGAAGGGUUUUGCACACUUUUGAAAGACUGUACUUGCUGCAACUAGUAGAUGCAUUGAAAGGAGGUAAAACGAGAAAUUACUGGAUCAGUGAGGACAUUUAUACAAGUCUGUUAGAAUGAGGACCUGAUGAUCUACACAGCAGUACAAUACGAAUGAACUGGAUAAGCUGAAUUUUGAGAGGUUUUUAGGAAAAAUAAUCUGAAUAAUUCAGUGUUUAGAUGGAGAGUGGGAAAGGGUCAAGGUCAUUCCAGAUUUUUGUCUUAGUUAAUUAGAUAGACAAUGAUGUAAAUGUCCAAAAUAGGGGAAGAGUUUGGGGGUGUGACUGAUGAGUUCAGUUUUAUUUACAUCUUGAUUUAUAGAUACCAGGCUUGACAGUGGAAUAUAUGGGUCUGAGUUCAAGCAGCACUAAAGUGAAAGUUAUUGGACUCUAUAUUACCUAGGCAUAAAUGAAAAUGACUAGAUGAGAUUAUUUCAAGAGAGUAUAUAGUGAAAUAUAUCUCAGUGAAAAACUUGGUGGAACAUAAAAGUGUUAAGGAGCAGAUAAAGAGAAUUCAAAAAGGAGAUAAAUUAUGGCUAGACAGACAAGAGAAAAAUCAUCUGGAGGAAAUGGAAUUAUGAAAGUCAGGUGAGUCGACUGCAUCAGGAAACUCACUAUAAAGGGUGGAGGCAUUAUGAUUGAAAAGUGUCCAUUGAAUUUGGCAUUCAAGAGGCCAUGGAUGAUUUUCGUGACGGCAGGAUUAGAGGUGUAGGGAUUAGACACCAGAACAAGAGAGUUGUGAAUAAAUGGAAGGUAAGAACAAGAGCGAAAUUAGAGUUCAGACCCUUCUGAUUUAGAAUGACUUUGAGGACAACAUAAUAGAUUGGCAGUUUGUUAGAAAGACAGAAUCUCAGACCCCACCCCACUACUGAAUUAAAAUCUUUAUUUUAAAAAGAUUCAAAUGACUCUUAUUUUAACAUUAAAGUUUGAGAAACUCUGGUUUAGAAUAGACUUUCAAAAAGAUAGCUGAGAAUGAAAGGAGAUAGAGUACUAGAGGGACAGGGAUAGGGAUAGUUUUUAGGGUGACAGGUGUGUGGAUGUACUUGCAGGCUAAGGAAAAUGAGCCUUUAGAGGAACUGGGGCUGAAAGAAGGAACAGAAAAGUCCUUAACAAAACAAGUGUGUUUGAGGUGGCUCAGAACGUGAGAUUGAGUAGCAGCAGUGAAAGGAGGCUUAGUUUGAACAGAAGGAUAAACAUCUCUUCCUCUAGGAGAAGAGAAUAGGAGAGAACGAAAUGGCUUCUAUUUCAUCACAAAAGUGGGAUAGGAGAGAACGAAUGGCUUCUAUUUCAUCACAAAAGUGGAAGAGAAGGAAACUUUAUGAGAGCAUAGGCAAUUCAAUUACAUAGUGUUUGAAAAUAGGUCUGGAAUAACUCCUUAAGGUAAUGGGAGAACUAAACAUCCAGAGGAAUUACAACUUUAUAAAGUACUUCUAAAGGUUUAAUUGAGAUUGGGAGUCAUGAAUGUGAACAGAGUAAUCCACUUUUCCCAGUGAUUUUCAUAGGUGUGAAAGUAAUGAAAUAGCCUCACCUAGAUGCUCACUCUGCCACACCUAGGUCACCUUACCCACCUGGUACCCACAUCAGCCUGCAGCAUUUGUGCCUGUAAAUAUUCACACUCAAGAAAAACUGAUCCUCUUGGAAGUCCACCCAACUUCCCCUAAAAUCAAUUACUCACCCUCUGUGCUUCCAUGGCAUUUUACUUCUACUUACCUUACGAGGUUUUCAGUUUGACUUGUGUUCCAGUCAACUAUGAAUGUACUUGUUCUCUGUCCAGAUAAUGAGCAUUUGGGUCAGAUAUCAAAUUUAACUAGUUUGUUUUUUGUUGUUUUUUGGGGGGAGAUGGAUUUUUUUGGAAUAAGAACCCACUAUUGUGUCUAGAAUAUUCUUGAAUCUCAAUUGUCAAGUGAUUUACACAAUCUUUUUCUGUUCCAGGCAGUAACUUGAAUUCUCGUCCUAUGUCUUAUUUUACUUUGUGUUUCCAGCAGCUGGUAUAACAUGAAGACAGCUUAGAUGGAGAGCAGCCUCAGCUCCUGCACAGGGUUACCUAGAAGAACUGGAUGGUUAAUGUCCCAAUGAACAGUCUUCAACAGUUGACAAAUAUCUGUGGAUGAACACCUCGGCUUAUUUUCCCCUUGAUCAUGUAUCAUUGUCAGAAACAGUGAGAUAAUGAUAUUAAGGUCUUGUCCCUGAUUCUGUCACACCCUGAAUGCUGGUUGCAACAUACUGAGGAUCCAGACAAAGGUUGUUCAUCAUUUCCAUCCCAGGUCUUGUGGAUGUUAAGGCAAGUCUCCCAGAUUCUAUUUGCAUGAAUGCUCUUAGUUCCCUUCCAUACAAUAGUGAAUGGGAAUGACGGCCUGGUUCCCAGAAAGCAAACUGACACCUUCAACCAAGGAAGGAGAAAGCACGGCUGUUCCAACAUUUUUAGGAGGGCAUGUCAAAAGAAAAAAGAAAAAGAAUACCCAAUAAUAAGGAAAAGGGUCAUCCCUAGCUAGAGGUAAUAUGCAUCAGUGAGCAGGAUACAUUACUAAUAGGCGUGCAAGAGUAAUGGAAGACCAGGUCUAGAAAGACAAGAUUGUCAGGAAACCAGCACCAAUUAGAUGUUCCCAAAUAGAAUCGAUUGUGCUAGUGUUACAAGAAGGCUGAGUAUAUAUCUGCAUGUGUGUGUGGAAGCCUAUUUGAGGGAUUUUUUUUUUUUUCAUUUUUUAAAGUUUUAUUGAAGUCUAGUUGA